rnacentral:rRNA from 1 species
ACUCAAUAGAUACCCGGGUAGUCCACGCCCUAAACGAUGUCAACUAGGUGUUGGAGGAGCAAUCCUUUGGUACCGCAGCUAAACGCGUGAAGUUGACCGCCUGGGGAGUACGGUCGCAAGAUUAAAACUCAAAGGAAUUGACGGGGACCCGCACAAGCGGUGGAUGAUGUGGAUUAAAUUCGAUGCAACGCGAACAACCUUACCUACCCUUGACAUGUCUGGAAUCCUGCUGAAAGGCGGGAGUGCCCGAAAGGGAACCGGAACACAGGUGCUGCAUGGCUGUCGUCAGCUCGUGUCGUGAGAUGUUGGGUUAAGUCCCGCAACGGGCGCAACCCUUGUCCUUAGUUGCUACGCAAGGGCACUCUAAGGAGACUGCCGGUGACAAACCGGAGGAAGGUGGGGAUGGCGUCAAGUCCUCAUGGCCCUUAUGGGUAGGGCUUCACACGUCAUACAAUGGUCGGUACAGAGGGUUGCCAACCCGGCGAGGGGGUAGCCAAUCCCAGAAAGCCGAUCGUAGUCCGGAUCGCAGUCUGCAACUCGACUGCGUGAA